GUCGCCAUUUUUAAUCUUUGCAGGUUGUUUUUUUUCACUCUCUCUCUCUGGUCAAGUGUAUGUCGAGAGUCGAAGCAGAUUAGAUGAUUGAUUUAUAAAGAGAAAAGGCUAAAACAGAAUUAUACUUUUUUCUGCCACGUGUUUCUUACACCUGCUCAAUUAUUUGAUUUCUUCCCUUUUAAUUUAUUCACAGAUCAUUGCACCGAAACCUAUCGUUAUCACUUAUCUGACUAAAACGGGUUGAUUGGAUGUCAUGCCAUAAAGCGAAUCACAAGACUACGCGUUUCUCUUCAUUUAACUGGGAAGGCCAUUGGUUUCUGCCGACAAAAAAAAACAUGCCUCUGCCGACAAAAAGAACAUGCCUCUACAAUAUUCUAG
rnacentral:lncRNA from 1 species